rnacentral:rRNA from 1 species
ACGAACGCUGGCGGCGCGCUUAACACAUGCAAGUCGAGCGAGAACCGAUCCUUCGGGAUCGGGGAAAGCGGCGAACGGGUGAGUAACACGUGAGUAAUCCACCCUCGGCACCGGGAUAGCCCGGGGAAACUCGGAUUAAUACCGGAUGGCCCAGCAGCUCUUCGGGGUGGCUGGAAAAGGUAGCUUCGGCCUCCGGCCGGGGACGGAGCUCGCGGCGGAUUAGCUUGUUGGUGGGGUAACGGCCUACCAAGGCGACGAUCCGUAGCUGGUCUGAGAGGACGAUCAGCCACACUGGGACUGAGACACGGCCCAGACACCUACGGGUGGCAGCAGUCGAGAAUUUUCUUCAAUGGGGGAAACCCGUCGAAGGAGCGACGCCGCGUGGAGGAUGAAGGCUUUCGGUU